GUACCGUGAGGGAAAGAUGAAAAGAACUUUGAAAAGAGAGUUAAACAGUACGUGAAAUUGUUGAAAGGGAAACGAUUGAAGUCAGUCAUACCAACGGGAAAUCAACCUUUUGAGCUCGGUCUCGUGGGUUUUGAAGAGUUUCAAAGCCUUCGGAUUCGCGGGAUUGGGAUCUCUCGGUGUACUUUCUCGUACGGUUAGUCAACAUCGGUUUUGAAUGUCAUAAAAUGACUGGAGGAAUGUAGCUUCGAUCUCGUAUUGAAGUGUUAUAGCCUUUGGUAGAUGUGAUGUUUGAGACCGAGGAUUGCAACGGAUACCCUUCAGGGCUAUUCGUCUGAUCUCUGAUACGUUGCCCUGAUGUUGAAAGCUUGCUUAUGAUGUUAGGGUAUUACGGUCAAAAGGUUAGAACGAAUUACAUUCGUUAAGG
rnacentral:rRNA from 1 species